UACGUAGGGGGCUAGCGUUGUCCGGAAUCAUUGGGCGUAAAGAGCUCGUAGGCGGUUUGUCGCGUCUGCUGUGAAAACCUAAGGCUCAACCUUGGGCUUGCAGUGGGUACGGGCAGACUAGAGUGCGGUAGGGGUGACUGGAAUUCCUGGUGUAGCGGUGGAAUGCGCAGAUAUCAGGAGGAACACCGAUGGCGAAGGCAGGUCACUGGGCCGCAACUGACGCUGAGGAGCGAAAGCAUGGGGAGCGAACAGG
rnacentral:rRNA from 1 species